GGGGGCGAUUUGGUUUCGACGUGCUGGUUGAAGCUGAGGUUGCGUGUCGAGGAUGUCUGGUUGGCCUCGUAAAAAAUCCGGGCAAACAAUUAAAUGCUGAUACUGAAUUAGCACUCGCGGCCUAAAGAUUGGCCACGCGUUCCGCCGCCAACACCUGCUAGGCGGACCGGGGCGACGACAGCAGGAUAGUCGGGCGUGUGCGUCUCAGGCGCGACCGGCGAAAUAAUGCUGAGACUGGCGUAGGUGAUGGCGUGUUCGUCCGCAGUCACCGAGGCGAGACCUAAUGGCGAAAUACACACGUAGAUACUUGAGUGACUCCACUGCGGACGCGGGUUCGACUCCCGCCGCCUCCACCA
rnacentral:tmRNA from 1 species